GGUCACAAAUUUGGUGGUGCUGAGCGUGUACAGCACCGACGGCACAAAGAAAACACUUUUUUCUUAUCUUUGUGUCGUAUGUUGUCAUGUGAUUGGAAUGAUAACAAUCGAUCUCUGAAGGGCUGAGGAGAGGCGUUCUGUGAAAAUAUACGUUCGUGACAGGAAAGGCCAUCAAGAUGGGCAUUGACUGGAUCCCUGUGGGCAGUGUGACUGCCUUCUGGCUGGUGGUGGGAGGUGUCCUGCCAUUCUUUGUGUCCAAGAGCAGCCCACACCAUGGCAUCACAAAGGCCUGUCUGAUAAUGACUGCCUUUGUGUGCUGGAUGUUCUGGCUGUACUGCUACAUGGCCCAGAUGAACCCACUCAUUGGACCUGAGAUGAAGAUCAACACACUAUUACUGGCCAAGAGGUCAUGGGGACAGUUUUAAAUGUCAUGACAAAAUCAAAUGGAUGUGUCAGAAAACAGCCUGGAGUAUCUGCAUGUGCUGCAAUGAACAGAAGGGCAGGCUGGAUGAUUUGUGAGAUGACUUAAGAAGUGCGCUGUGAUGCAAACCAAUCAGUAGGGGAUCAAGUUGGCAUGUUUUGAUAUUGAUGAAACCUGGUGGAUAAUUGCAAGUUUGUUCUAGGUGUGCACGAGUUUCAGGAAAUGACAGUCCUGAGCUGCUCAGUUAUAAUCUUAUAUGUAAUCUGCAACUCCUUGUUUAUCCACCGUCCUGUGUCAAGUGUUGUUACCGACCAAGAUAUUUGUACCGUGCCUUAUUAAAUAAAUGUUUUAUCGUGUAUAUGAAA